rnacentral:rRNA from 1 species
UACGUAGGGUGCAGGCGUUAAUCGGAAUUACUGGGCGUAAAGCGUGCGCAGGCGGUUUGCUAAGACAGGUGUGAAAUCCCCGGGCUUAACCCGGAAAGGUCAGCCGAUACUGCGGGGCUAGAGUGCAGAAGGGGGCAACUGGAAUUCUCGGUGGUAGCGGUGAAAUGCGUAGAUAUCGAGAGGAACACCUGCGGCGAAGGCGGGUUGCUGGGCUGACACUGACGUGAGGCGCGAAAGCUAGGGGAGCGAACGGG